UUUUCUUCUCUUAACAGUAUUGUCACAGAGUAGAAAAUUUUAAUUCUAACAAAGUCCACCUUAACUGGAUUUUUCAUUGAAGACUCGUUCUUUCAAUGUUGAAGAUAAAAGGUCAUUAUGAAAUCUCAGGUCAUAUCUUCUCCUUUGCUAGUUCUAGAAUUUUGAUAGUUUCGCAGUUUGUGUUUACAUCCAUGAACAAUUUUUGUGAAUAUUUGUGUCAUGUGAAAAGUUGGCAUCUUUGUUAAGUUUUUUCCAUAUGGUCACCCGAUUGUGCCAUCACCAUUUGUUUAAAAGACUAACUUUUCUCCAUCAAAUUGCCUCUGAUCUUUUGACAAAGAUCAGUUGCCCAUGUUUGUGAGUCUAUGUAUGGACUCUGUGUUCUUUUCUAUUUAUCUCCUGGCACAUUCUUACCCCAGCAUCACACUCCCUGUACCUUUCUAAAUCCUGGAAUGGGGAAGUGCGGCUUACUCAACUUUGCUCUUCAGUGUUGUGCAGGAUAUUCCAGGUGCAGAAACGGUUUGUAGAUAUCUACAAAGUGUCUGACUGGGACAUUGACUGGGGUUGUGUUGACUCUGUAGGUCCAGUCGGGAAGAGCUGACAUCUUCAUUAUACUGAGUCUACUGAUCGUGGAAGUGAAAUACGUCUCCUAUUAGCAGCACAGAGAAUACGCACCACGUGUUGCACUUUGACCUGUACUUCUUGUUAUCAUAAUCCACUCUCAUCAAGGCCUGUGAUACGGUGCCCAUUCCAUUUGAACUUCAGAAAUUAAGGGACUGAACAGUGUGACCACUGAGCUGCUGUGCCUCAGCUUAGGAGUCCCUGCUUAGCGGUAGCCAGCUUGCUCCCCGGCCGGGGGCACAGGGCUCACACCACCGCCUUGUUCUGACCGGGGCCCCAGAGACCAGGGUGUGGUGCUGGGUGUGCUGCCCAUGGAUGCUGGUUCCUGGCCGCAGUGAGACAAGAGCUUCCUGUCCCCAGGAUCGACGUGCCGCUCCCUCGGGAAGAGGAUGCUCCCUGCCCGCUUCCGGCCCAGCAGGGGCCUGUGUGCCUCCUCUGACACUCUCCUUCGGUCAUGCGCACAGAGCUGCAUGGUCUGGACUGUUCCUGGGGCUUGUUCUCUACUCCCUCAGGGCGUGUGUUCCUGAGGCCUAUUGUGCACAGGAUCGCCCUUUAUGGGGCUCCUGGGGCGAUCACAGCCCGCUGUGCUGUGUCACAGGCUUGUGAGGUUUGUGGGAGGAAUCGUGCACAGAUUCAGACACACAGGUGCCCUCGUGAAAGGAUGUGCAAGAUGUUGGGCCUUCCCGGGAGGGAGCUGGGGACACAGGACACGCCUGGAGACUACAGAAUUCCUGGGCGAAAGGGAAAAAUGUUCAAACCUACAUCCGCUGCAAGAAUUGUUAAUGCUAAAUUUCCUAUGACAUGGAAGUAGCUGAAAAUAUAUUGAAAGAUAAAGAUGAGAUGUAUUAAUAAACAUUAUUUUAAUUUUCAA